rnacentral:rRNA from 1 species
GAUUAUGGCUCAGGAUGAACGCUGGCGGCGUGCCUAACACAUGCAAGUCGAGCGAUUCUCUUCGGAGAAGAGCGGCGGACGGGUGAGUAACGCGUGGGUAACCUGCCUCAUACACAUGGAUAACAUACCGAAAGGUAUGCUAAUACAGGAUAACAUAAGAGAUUCACAUGGAUUUCUUAUCAAAGCUCCGGCGGUAUGAGAUGGACCCGCGUCUGAUUAGCUAGUUGGUAAGGUAACGGCUUACCAAGGCGACGAUCAGUAGCCGACCUGAGAGGGUGAUCGGCCACAUUGGAACUGAGACACGGUCCAAACUCCUACGGGAGGCAGCAGUGGGGAAUAUUGCACAAUGGGCGAAAGCCUGAUGCAGCAACGCCGCGUGAGUGAUGAAGGCCUUCGGGUCGUAAAACUCUGUCCUCAAGGAAGAUAAUGACGGUACUUGAGGAGGAAGCCCCGGCUAACUACGUGCCAGCCGCAGC